GAUGAACGCUGGCGGCGUGCCUAAUACAUGCAAGUAGAACGCUGAAGGAGGAGCUUGCUCUUCUGGAUGAGUUGCGAACGGGUGAGUGACGCGUAGGUAACCUGCCCGGUAGCGGGGGGUAACAAUUGGAAACGAUAGCUAAUACCGCAUAAGAGAAGAUGUUGCGUGAAAUUCACUUAAAAGGUGCAAUUGCAUCACUACCAGAAGGACCUGCGUCGUAUUAGCUAGUUGGGGGGGUAACGGCUACCAAAGGAGCCGACCCAUAGCGGACCUGAGAGGGGGAUGGGCACCCUUGGAACUGAGACACGGCCAAGACCCCUACGGGAGGAAGCAGUGGGGAAUUUCGGCCAUGGGGCGAAGUCUUGACGAAGCACGCCCGCGUGGUGGAGGAAGUUUUCCGGUCGGUAAAGUCUUUUUUAUGGGAAAGACAAGUGUGAGAGUGAAAAGUUCACGCUGUGACGGUAUCUAACCAGAAAGCGACGGCUAACUACGUG
rnacentral:rRNA from 1 species